rnacentral:rRNA from 1 species
UACGGGGGGGGCAAGCGUUGUUCGGAAUUACUGGGCGUAAAGGGCUCGUAGGUGGCCAACUAAGUCGGACGUGAAAUCCCUCAGCUUAACUGGGAACUGCGUCCGAUACUGGAUGGCUCGAGUUUGGGAGAGGGAUGCGGAAUUCCAGGUGUAGCGGUGAAAUGCGUAGAGAUGUGGAGGAAUACCGAUGGCGAAGGCAGCCCCCUGGGAUAACACUGACGCUCAUGCACGAAAGCGUGGGGAGCAAACGAGGAUU